UGGGGAAUAUUGGACAAUGGGCGAAAGCCUGAUCCAGCCAUGCCGCGUGUGUGAAGAAGGUCUUCGGAUUGUAAAGCACUUUAAGUUGGGAGGAAGGGCAUUAACCUAAUACGUUAGUGUUUUGACGUUACCGACAGAAUAAGCACCGGCUAACUCUGUGCCAGCAGCCGCGGUAAUACAGAGGGUGCAAGCGUUAAUCGGAAUUACUGGGCGUAAAGCGCGCGUAGGUGGUUUGUUAAGUUGGAUGUGAAAUCCCCGGGCUCAACCUGGGAACUGCAUUCAAAACUGACUGACUAGAGUAUGGUAGAGGGUGGUGGAAUUUCCUGUGUGGCGGUGAAAUGCGUAGAUAUAGGAAGGAACACCAGUGGCGAAGGCGACCACCUGGACUAAUACUGACACUGAGGUGCGAAAGCGUGGGGAGCAAACA
rnacentral:rRNA from 1 species